rnacentral:rRNA from 1 species
UCCCCUAGUAACUGCGAGUGAAGCGGGAAAAGCUCAAAUUUAAAAUCCCUUCUGGGAGUUGUAAUCUAGAGACGUGUUUUCGGUCGUUGCCUCGGACAAGUCCCUUGGAAUAGGGCGUCAUAGAGGGUGAGAAUCCCGUACUUGCCGAGCUCCCAAUGACUAUGUGAUACACGUUCGAAGAGUCGAGUUGUUUGGGAAUGCAGCUCAAAAUGGGUGGUAAACUCCAUCUAAAGCUAAAUAUUGGCGAGAGACCGAUAGCGAACAAGUACCGUGAGGGAAAGAUGAAAAGCACUUUGGAAAGAGAGUUAAACAGUACGUGAAAUUGUUGAAAGGGAAGCGCUUGAAGUCAGUCGCGUUGCAGGGACUCAGCCGUCAAGGUGCAUUUCUCUGCAACGGGUCAACAUCAAUUUCGGCCGCGGGAAAAGGGCUUGGGGAAUGUGGCAGCUUCGGCUGUGUUAUAGCCUCUUGUCGUACACCGCGGCCGGGAUUGAGGACUGCUAUUACAGGAUGUUGACAAAAUGGCUUUAAGCGACCCGUCUUGAAACACGGACCAAGGAGUCUAACAUGUCUGCGAGUGUUCGGGUGUCAAACCCGUGCGCGUAAUGAAAGUAAACGUAGGUGGGAGGCUUCGGCCGCACCAUCGACCGAUCCGGAUCUCUUGUGAUGGAUUUGAGUAAGAGCAUAUAUGUUGGGACCCGAAAGAUGGUGAACUAUGCCUGAAUAGGGCGAAGCCAGAGGAAACUCUGGUGGAGGCUCGUAGCGAUUCUGACGUGCAAAUCGAUCGUCAAAUUUGGGUAUAGGGGCGAAAGACUAAUCGA